rnacentral:lncRNA from 1 species
ACUCUUCCGACAUUCCACACGGUCGUGAGUAUCACCCGCGACGGAUUCCUCCCGAGUCUAUCCACAGCUCCAAGUCUAACAAUUCCACAUCAUAUUCCCUUGCUCCGAGUUCAUCCUUAUUCACAAGUUCUCAGCAUUCAGCCGGAUCAAAUCCAAACCUCCACGUCCAAAGAACAGAACCGUGGCCUAUUCCUAGUUGAAUAAAAACUUCAAACGCUCCUUCCAGAUCAUCUCCCAGCAUCCCAUCUCCUCCCACAACCGGUUAUUCAGCGAUUCAUCUUCAUCUUCUGAACCAACCCAUCCUCUUCUCCGAAUCACAUCCAACAUCUUCCCAGAUUUCUUCUCCGCCAUAUCCAGCCAACGGCAACACGUUCCAGCUCCCCUGUUCGUGAUCUAUCUUCAUCCCGUAUCCAAACAAAAUCCCUUGCUCCCAGCUGCUUCAUCCUCCCGAACUCUGUGUUCAUCUUCCAGCCUUGCAUCCGUUCCCAGCU